rnacentral:rRNA from 1 species
CACAUGCAGUCGAACGGUGAUCUUGGGAGCUUGCUCCUGGGUGAGCAGUGGCGAACGGGUGAGUAACACGUGAGUAACCUGCCCCUGACUCUGGAAUAAGCGCUGGAAACGGCGUCUAAUACCGGAUACGAGACGCAACCGCAUGGUUAGUGUCUGGAAAGUUUUUCGGUCUGGGAUGGACUCGCGGCCUAUCAGCUUGUUGGUGAGGUAACGGCUCACCAAGGCAAUGACGGGUAGCCGGCCUGAGAGGGCGAUCGGCCACACUGGGACUGAGACACGGCCCAGACUCCUACGGGAGGCAGCAGUGGGGAAUAUUGCACAAUGGGCGAAAGCCUGAUGCAGCGACGCCGCGUGAGGGAUGACGGCCUUCGGGUUGUAAACCUCUUUCAGCAGGGAAGAAGCGAAAGUGACGGUACCUGCAGAAGAAGCACCGGCUAACUACGUGCCAGCAGCCGCGGUAAUACGUAGGGUGCGAGCGUUGUCCGGAAUUAUUGGGCGUAAAGAGCUUGUAGGCGGUUUGUCGCGUCUGCUGUGAAAAUCCGGGGCUCAACCCCGGACUUGCAGUGGGUACGGGCAGACUAGAGUGUGGUAGGGGAGACUGGAAUUCCUGGUGUAGCGGUGAAAUGCGCAGAUAUCA